rnacentral:tRNA from 1 species
AGUAAUAUAGUCUAGUUAGGACAGAAAACCUAUGAUUUUCAGGCGCUGGCAAAGCUUUUACUA